rnacentral:rRNA from 1 species
GACGAACGCUGGCGGCGUGCUUAACACAUGCAAGUCGAACGCUGAAGCCUGGCUUUUGUUGGGUGGAUGAGUGGCGAACGGGUGAGUAACACGUGAGUAACCUGCCCCCUUCUUUGGGAUAACGCCCGGAAACGGGUGCUAAUACUGGAUAUUCACUGGCCUUCGCAUGGGGGUUGGUGGAAAGGGUUUUCUGGUGGGGGAUGUGCUCCCCGCCUAUAAGCAUGUGGGUGGGAUAAUGCACUACCAAGGGUAUUGGCGCGGCUGGUGGCAGAUAGCUAG